rnacentral:misc_RNA from 1 species
AAGGAUCAUUAUCGUAGGGCUUCGGUCCUGUCGAGAUAGCGUCCUUGCCUAUUUUUUGGAGCACCAUUUGUUUCCUCAGCAGGCCUGCCUGCUAUUGGGGACCCUUUAAACUCUUUGUAAAUACAGUAACUGUCUGAAAAACAAACAAAAAAAAUCAAAACUUUCAACAAUGGAUCUCUUGGUUCUG